rnacentral:rRNA from 1 species
UACGUAGGGGGCAAGCGUUGUCCGGAUUUAUUGGGCGUAAAGAGCGUGUAGGCGGCCAUGUAGGUCCGUUGUGAAAACUCGAGGCUCAACCUCGAGACGCCGAUGGAAACCAUGUGGCUCGAGUCCGGAAGAGGAGAGUGGAAUUCCCGGUGUAGCGGUGAAAUGCGUAGAUAUCAGGAGGAACACCGAUGGCGAAGGCAGGUCUCUGGGCUGACACUGACGCUCAUGCACGAAAGCGUGGGGAGCAAACAGG